rnacentral:rRNA from 1 species
CGCCUGUUUAACAAAAACAUUUCUUUUAGGUUUUUUUAAAAGUACUUUCUGCCCUAUGGUUAUUUUCUAAAUGGCUGCAGUAUUUUGACUGUGCAAAGGUAGCAUAAUAAUUAGUUUUUUAAUUGAAGGCUGGUAUGAAUGGAAAAUUGAGAUACAUUUUUUAUUUAAUUUAUUUUUAAAAUUUAAGUUUUAGGUUAAAAUUCCUAACUAUUUUCUUGGGACGAUAAGACCCUAUAGAACUUUAACAUAUUAUUUUGUAAAUAGUUUUUAUUUCUAUAACAAAUUAUAUUAUAGUAGGUUUUGCUGGGGUGGUGAAUAAAUUAAUAACUUUAUUAAUAAAAAUCAUUAUAGUUGUUUUUUAAGAUCUUUUGUUUGAAAGAAAGAAAAAGUUACCUUAGGGAUAACAGCGUAAUUUUAAUGGUAAGUUCACAUUUAUAUUAUUUUUUGCGACCUCGAUGUUGAAUUAAGGAAAAUUUUAAGAAGCAGCAUUCUUGAUUUUAAGUCUGUUCGACUUUUAAAUCCUUACUUGAUCUGAGUUCAGACCGG